rnacentral:rRNA from 1 species
AUACGGAGGAUGCGAGCGUUAUCCGGAUUUAUUGGGUUUAAAGGGAGCGUAGGUGGGAUAUUAAGUCAGCUGUGAAAGUUUGGGGCUCAACCUUAAAAUUGCAGUUGAUACUGGUUUCCUUGAGUACGGUACAGGUGGGCGGAAUUCGUGGUGUAGCGGUGAAAUGCUUAGAUAUCACGAAGAACUCCGAUCGCGAAGGCAGCUCACCGGGCCGGAACUGACACUGAUGCUCGAAAGUGCGGGUAUCAAACAGGAUUAGAUACCCUGGUAGUCCGCACAGUAAACGAUGAAUACUCGCUGUUUGCGAUACACUGUAAGCGGCCAAGCGAAAGCGUUAAGUAUUCCACCUGGGGAGUACGCCGGCGACGGUGAAACUCAAAGGAAUUGACGGGG